CGCAUGCCCGAAGGGUGACGAAGCGACGCCGCGUGAGCGAUGAAGGCCUUCGGGUUGUAAAGCUCUGUCACAUGGGAUGAAAUAUGUCAGGGUAAAUAGCCUUGGCAUUUGACAGUACCGUGAGAGGAAGCCCCGGCUAACUACGUGCCAGCAGCCGCGGUAAUACGUAGGGGGCGAGCGUUGUUCGGAUCUAUUGGGCGUAAAGGGCGUGUAGGUGGUUGUGUAAGUCAGGUGUGAAAGCCCUCCGCUCAACGGAGGAAUUGCACUUGAUACUGCGCGACUUGAGUGCAGAGGAAGAGAACGGAAUUCUCAGUGUAGCGGUGAAAUGCGUAGAUAUUGAGAAGAACACCGGUGGCGAAGGCGGUUCUCUAUUCUGCUACUGACACUGAGGCGCGAAAGCGUGGGGAGCGAACAGGAUUAGAUACCCUGGUAGUCCACGCUGUAAACGAUGGGCACUAAGUAGAGGGG
rnacentral:rRNA from 1 species